AGAUAAGGGCGGAUGAUCGCUGUAGAAAUAUUUUCUUAAACCGAGAAAUUUUUUAUAGAGGAAAGUCCGGGCACCGAUUCUAAAAUGUUUGUGCAACAGAAAGAGCAUUUUGGAGUUGAGCUACCAUACAGGUUAACGACCUGGGUUUUUUGAGAGAUGUAAAAAUUUUUCAAGAAAUACGGAAAGUGGCACAGAAAAUAAACCGCCGAAAGAAAUUUCGGUAAGGAUGAAAACGUGAGGUAAGAGCUCACGGCUUUUACGGGUGACCGUAAUCGCGCUAAACCCUAUGGGGUGCAAGACCAAACAUCGGCUUUACGGGUGUUGCCCGUCAGUGAGACUGCUCCUCGCUGGAUCGAUUCCGCGGUUGGCAAGUGAAUCGAUUGAAGUAGAAGGUAGGUCGCUUGAGGGGAUUGGUAACAAUCCUCCCAGAUUGAUGAUUAUCGCUUAGAAGACUCGGCCAGUUUUCUAAGUACAGAACCCGGCUUAUAGCCCUUUAUCUUUUG
rnacentral:RNase_P_RNA from 1 species